AUUGAACGCUGGCGGCAGGCCUAACACAUGCAAGUCGAACGAGUGGCGGACGGGUGUGUAAUGUCUGGGAAACUGCCUGAUGGAGGGGGAUAACUACUGGAAACGGUAGCUAAUACCGCAUACCAUCGGAUGUGCCCAGAUGGGAUUAGCUAGUAGGUGGGGUAAAGGCUCACCUAGGCGACGCUCCGUAACUGGUCUGAGAGGAUGAUCAGUCACACUGGAACUGAGACACGGUCCAGACUCCUACGGGAGGCAGCAGUGGGGAAUAUUGGACAAUGGGCGAAAGCCUGAUCCAGCCAUGCCGCGUGUGUGAAGAAGGUCUUCGGAUUGUAAAGCACGUGAAGUUGGGAGGCGUUACCCACAGAAUAAGCACCGGCUAACUUCGUGCCAGCCGCCGCGGUAAUUC
rnacentral:rRNA from 1 species